UUAAUAGAUUAAAUUUUAAAUUUUAUUAUUUCAUUUACCUUUUGCAUCAUGAUCUAAUGAUUAUAUUUGAAUAUUCAAUAUUUCGAAAUAUUAAGAUACUUAGUAUUUUUUUUAGUACGUGUAGUACAAAACUUAUUUAAAUAUUAAUGUUGUGAUAAAUUAAUCGUUUAAUAUUAUAUCUAAUUAGAGAGUUAUUAUUUUAAUAAUAUUAAAGCUGUUAAUAACUUUAAUAACUUUGUAAGAUUCAAUUUUAUAUUUAGUUAAAUCGGGUUGAGAAGUGACCUUUUUUUAGAAAGUUGUUCUACUCUUCUAAUAUAUUUUAUUCUUCUUAUAUUACUCUCUUAUAUUAACUAUAUUUUAUUAAUUAUGUUAGAAUUAGUAGUAAAUUAAUUAAUUACUUUCUCGGAUUAAUUCGGUAUGUUUAUUAAAAACAUUUCUAUAUAUAAUUUUAUAUAGUAGUACCUGCUCAGUGCUUUGUAAAUAGCCGCAGUACCCUGACUGUGCUAAGGUAGCAUAAUUAAUUGCCUUUUAAUUGGAGGAUUGUUUGAAUGGUUUGACUUGAUUUAUUAUCUAGUAAUUAUUUUGUUUUGAAAUUAGAUUAUUAACACAGAUCUUAAUACCAUACUAUUAGACGGAAAGACCCUGAGAUUUUAUAAAUUAAUUAAUUUGCUUGGGGCAAGACUUAAUUUAUUAUUAAGAGUAUGAACCUUAUUAGGGUUUAUUGAUUAAGUUACCUCAGGGAUAACUGGGUUAGAGAGAUUAAGAGCACACAUUAAAAUCUCUAUUUGCCACCUCGAUGUUGACUUAAGGAUACUUUUUGGUGUAGAGGCUAAAUUAUGUAGGUCUGUUCGGCCUUUAAUUCCUUAAUGAGUUGAGUUAAGACCGGCGUAAGCCAGGUUGGUUCUUAUCUAUAUUUGAAUCUCUAUAGUACGAAAGGAUCUAGAGAUUAUUAGUUU
rnacentral:rRNA from 1 species